rnacentral:tRNA from 1 species
GCCCGGGUAGCUCAAUCGGUAGAGCGUGUGGCUCUUAACAGUGGAAAAGCUUCAUUUGAAGCCGAUUCAUCACUUAAAAGUUACCUCAAGGUCGUGGGUUCGAGCCCCACCUCGGGCU